rnacentral:rRNA from 1 species
AGAGUUUGAUCCUGGCUCAGGAUGAACGCUAGCGGCAGGCCUAACACAUGCAAGUCGAGGGGCAGCACGGUGUAGCAAUACACUGGUGGCGACCGGCGCACGGGUGCGUAACGCGUAUGCAACCUACCCAUAACAGGGGGAUAACACUGAGAAAUUGGUACUAAUACCCCAUAACAUCAGGACCGGCAUCGGUUUUGGUUGAAAACUCCGGUGGUUAUGGAUGGGCAUGCGUUGUAUUAGCUGGUUGGUGAGGUAACGGCUCACCAAGGCAACGAUACAUAGGGGGACUGAGAGGUUAACCCCCCACAUUGGUACUGAGACACGGACCAAACUCCUACGGGAGGCAGCAGUGAGGAAUAUUGGUCAAUGGACGCAAGUCUGAACCAGCCAUGCCGCGUGCAGGAAGACGGCUCUAUGAGUUGUAAACUGCUUUUGUACGAGGGUAAACGCUCUUACGUGUAAGAGCCUGAAAGUAUCGUACGAAUAAGGAUCGGCUAACUCCGUGCCAGCAGCCGCGGUAAUACGGAGGAUCCAAGCGUUAUCCGGAUUUAUUGGGUUUAAAGGGUGCGUAGGCGGUUUGAUAAGUUAGAGGUGAAAUACCGGUGCUUAACACCGGAACUGCCUCUAAUACUGUUGAACUAGAGAGUAGUUGCGGUAGGCGGAAUGUAUGGUGUAGCGGUGAAAUGCUUAGAGAUCAUACAGAACACCGAUUGCGAAGGCAGCUUACCAAACUAUAUCUGACGUUGAGGCACGAAAGCGUGGGGAGCAAACAGGAUUAGAUACCCUGGUAGUCCACGCAGUAAACGAUGAUAACUCGCUGUCGGCGAUACACAGUCGGCGGCUAAGCGAAAGCGAUAAGUUAUCCACCUGGGGAGUACGUUCGCAAGAAUGAAACUCAAAGGAAUUGACGGGGGCCCGCACAAGCGGAGGAACAUGUGGUUUAAUUCGAUGAUACGCGAGGA